GUCAAUCGGCCUAUUGCUCAAGCGUCGGCUUGAACGGACGGCGGAUGAGUUUUGGGCCGCAAAGGCUGCCGUAGAGGGGCGUGGCGAUGGAGCCGCGAUUCGGUUCCCGUAGUUCACGUGCCGGCCGCCGCGGAUCUUCUCAGACCUACCAUGGCUCAGCCGGAGACGUUAAACCUCAAUAACGAGGUUGUGAAGAUGAGAAAAGAAGUGAAGAGAAUCCGAGUGUUGGUUAUCCGAAAACUUGUCCGGAGUGUUGGCAGACUGAAGUCAAAAAAGGGUACUGAAGAUGCACUGUUAAAAAACCAGAGACGGGCACAACGAUUGCUUGAAGAAAUUCAUGCUAUGAAGGAAUUGAAACCUGAUAUAGUAACUAAAUCUGCUCUCGGUGAUGAUAUCAACUUUGAAAAAAUCUGCAAAAAGCCUGAUUCUACUGCAACUGAAAGAGCAGUUGCCAGACUAGCGAUGCAUCCGCUUCUGAAGAAAAAAAUAGAUGUGCUGAAAGCUGCUGUCAGAGCCUUUAAAGAUGCAAGACAAAAUGUUGUUGAAGUUAAAUCAUCAGAGAAUGCUUCAGAAGAAAAUCAUUCCAAGGACACUUUGUGUUCAAAUGAUGAUGCCAAUAAGUUACAGCAUGAAGGAACUAUUAUCAGUGAGCAAAAAGAGAAAGAAGCCAAAAUAUUGGCAAAGAAACCAGUAAAUUCAAAAGAAAAAAGAACCAAGGUGGAACAUGGACCCAAUGCUGUAGACAUUCCAAAUUCUCCAUCAAAGCCUUCUGAAAAGGCUGAUGUAGUUUCUUCUGAGCCCCAGAAGACACCUGCUGACCCAAAAAUGAAAACCUUAAGUAAAACCAAAAAAGAGAAAGAGUCCAGUAGCUCCCUUGAUGGUAACAGUGAUGGAGAAGAAUCACAAGAAGAAAAGGAGUAUUUUGAUGAUAGCACAGAGGAAAGGUUUUACAAACAGUCCUCCAUGUCUGAGGAUAGUGACAGUGGGGAUGACUUCUUCAUUGGGAAAGUCAGACGGACACGAAAGAAGGAAAGUACUUGCCAUUCUUUGAUUAAGGAACAGAUGCCCCCCAAAAAAGUGUUACCUCAGGAAGAUCUACUUGAAACCCAUCAGAGUAUAAGAAAUGACAUAAACAAGCCAAGUACAGAAUCAAGGAAGUUUGAGUCAGUGUUUUUCCAUUCUUUAUCUGGAUCUAAAAGCUCUAGAAGAAAUUACAGAGAACAGGCUCCAAAAAGCAAAACCCCAGGUUUUCAGCAAAAUGAACCUCAGCUCAAGAAUCUGUUUAAUAAGAGUGCACAAAGAGGACUUCAAAGUACAAAACAGCAAUCACAGCUGCCUCUUCAUCCUUCGUGGGAAGCAAGCAAGAGGCGAAAAGAGCAGCAAUCUAAAAUUGCUGUGUUUCAGGGGAAAAAAAUUACGUUUGAUGAUUGAUUAGUAUAGUACCUCUUUUUGUGAACCAGUCCAUUAUUAAAGUUAUGUUUACAUAAGCCUACCACAAAUCAAGUACAUACUUAAAUUGAUUUUAAAUAAUAUACCCACGCUGUUCCCUCUGUGAAAAAAUUUUGAAAUAACUGUCUCAGACUUCCUCAUUUGUGCUUAUGAAGGGUAUUUCACAGGUUUAACUCUGUCUUGCUUUGAAAAUAAAUUUUGAGAAGAUACAUUAAAAUAAUAAUGGAAAAUAUGAGGAAAUUAUAGUUAUUUAAAAGAGAUCACCUUUGCUAAAAGUUAUUCUUAGCAAAACUAAGAUAGUAACUUUUAUAUGGGUAUAGAGAUAAUAAAUUAACAAAUAUUAAUUUUUAUUAUAUUUUUAAUCAUUUGUGAUCUAGUUUUUGUUUUAAAAUAGAUUCAAGGGCAGUUUUUCAUUUCUGAAUUAUACCUAUUCUUUAGGCAACAUACAUGUUUAAAUGUAGCACCACAACCAAUAAUUUGUUAUAUAUCUCACUGCAUAGAAAUAUUUAUUUAAAUCAAGAAUGUUUAACAUGUAGUUACUUGACCAUGCUCUUUUAUGGAAACAUUUUUUUGUGGAAUUGUGGAUUAGAAUUCAAAAGGAUAAACUCUGAAGGAGGUGUGAUUGAAGAAGCAUUUCCAGAUAACUGAGUGCAGUGAUAAGAUGACUCGAAGGAACUACUCUGUGGAGUACUGUUAAUUUCAAAGGAAAACAGGAUUUUAAAAAUCCUUUCAAAUGUUUCACUUUCGCUUCUCUGGAAGAAAUUAAAGAUUCUUGGUUAACUAAGUAAAGAUAACUAAAUUCCAUCUUCCUGUUAAUGGCAGGGAAGGCCCCCUGGUUUGCAGGAAUUCAUAAGCUCUGGAGAGUCAUUUCUAUCAUUUUCAAGAGCUUAAGAAUUUAGAUAACUAAAGCAAUGGAAUUCAAGAGAUUAUACAGAAAAAAUUAUUUUUGCUAUGUUGAAAGCAAAAUUUGUUUUUUCUCCUUUUGUCUUUUAAAUUUUUAUUUGGACAUGUCAAUUACGCAAAAUUAAAAUUAAUUUCAAUGAAAUUUUAAUUAUGAAAAAUUAUUACAGGAAAAGUGAAAGAAAAAUGUCUCCAUGGCUACCCAGAUUUAGCCAAACUGCGAGGUUGAGAGCAGUGUCCUCCAGGCUACCAAGUCUGGCCAAGACUUCUUACCCUACCACAAGAAGUUAGGGUCCAGCUACAGAGUUAGAGGGAAGAGCUCCCACAAGACCACUGUCACUUCUGACACCAGCUGCAGAUCCAUGAUAGUUUUGAAAACCAACAGCCAACAAUCACAGUGAAAACCAGCAGCCUGGCAGCCACUAGGAGAAACAGAACAGGGUUGGAGCUUCUUCAACGAUAUAUUCACUGAGAAUUGUCGUUAUUUGACAAAUACGGUAGUUCACUGGAAGACCCCACUUGACUAAGAAUUUGCUCAGUGCGAAAGCCUUUUUCCUGAUACCACUUUUCAGAAACACUCAGAGGUGAUUGUUUAACUGUGAUCACAGUUGCUUGAGGCAGUGAGUAACAGUUGAGGCAAACAAAUUUGUCAAAAAGCUUAAAAGGAAAUCUGGAGAAUUCAGUAUCUCUAGGGACUUCGAGGAGUUCUGACGUAUUUCUUGGAAUUAAGCAAGUCAUGUGCUGCUUGCGUAGUGCUGUGUGUAUAUUCAGGGAAGAGCUGAGAAGGCCCUAAACUGACCCUUCUAGCUGACCUUGAGGUUCUGCUCAGGCAGGAAAUGAAGGCUCAGGUGGAAUUGUCAACUUCCUGGCUGUGUUGAAGGUGUGCCCCAGCACACACACACACACACACACACUCACACACACUCACACACACACAGUCUCUUAGCAAAAUCACAGUAGUAUUCCAAGCAAGGAAGUCCGUCUAGUUUUUAGUGUACCACUAAACUAAUGAAGCAGAAACUUUAAUGGCCACACUCAACAAAGAAUAUAGACUUCACAAGUUCAAAAAAGUCCACUAAACAACAACAAAAAACAAUAACAAGCCCUAGGGAGGGGGGAGUAUCUGCUUUUUAGAUUUUCACCAUUGUAAUAUAUUACUUAAAAUGACCAGUUUUCAAUAAAAUGCUAAGACAUAUGCAGAAACAAACUAUGCCCCAUAUACAGGGAAGAAGAAAAACAAACUGUCCCCAAAGAGGUCCAGACUUUGGAUUUACUCAACAAAGACAUUAAAUAAGCUAUUUUGAGAAUAUGUGCAAAGAACUAACAGAAGCAAAGUUUAAAGAACUAAAAGAAAGUCUGAUAACAGUGCCUCACCAUAUAGAGAAUAUCAGUAAUGAAAUAGAAAUUAUAAGGAAGAGACAAAAAGAAAUUUAGGAAUUGAAAAGUACCAUAACUGAUAGGAAAAAAUUCAACGUACGUGGUCAACAGCAGAUGGGAGCGGGUAGAAGAAAGACUUGGUGAAACUAAAGAUAGAUCAAUUGAGAUUAUCCAGUUCUAGGAAUAGGAGGAAAAAAAAAACAUGAAUGAUAAUGAACGGAGAUCCUCAAAGACUCAUGGGAUACCGUCAAGUGUACCAACAGGCAUGGUGAGAGCCCCAUAUGAACUGCAUUUUCACUAGUAGCCACAGACCCUAAAAGAAUUGAAAACAUGUUCCAACGGAAACUUGAUCAUGAAUGUUCAUAGUAGCGUAUACAUAAGAGCUGAAAAGAAGAAACAAGCCAAAUACCCAUCAGUUGGUGACUGGAUAAGCAAAACUGAUAUAUGCAUACAAUGGAAUAUUAUUCAGGCCUAAAAAGGCAUGAAGUACUGAUAUGUACUAUGACAUGAAUGAACUUUGAAAGCAUUAGGUUAAGAAGAAGCCAAACACAAAAUACGGUUCAACUUCUAGGAAAUACCCACAAUAGGUAAAUCCAUAGAGACCAAUUAGUAAACUAGUGAUUGCUAAGGUCUAGGGGAGGGAGGGACAGUGAGUGACUGCUAAUGGGUAUGGAUGGCUUUCUUUUUUGGAUUGAUAAUGUGUUCUGGAAUUGGAUGGUGGUAGUAGUGGCAGAACUUUGUGAAUGUACAAAAAUCCACUGAAUUAUGUACUUUAAAAACGUGAAUGUUACGGUAUGUGAAUUAUAUCUCAAUUUUUAGAGUAAUAAUAAAAAGUGACCUGGGUUAGUGCAUUUUCACUGCCUUCCAUGUAGAGUACUUCAUUUGAAAUGCACUUUAAUUCACAUUUUUGAUGUGUUUUACUUAGAGGAAUUUUCCUCCAUCCUUGGUGAUUUUAUUUUUUUUUUUAUGUGUGUGAAACAUGAACAUUGUUCCAUAAGUCAGAGCUACACAAAAUGAUAUACUUUGAGAGGUGGCAACUCCUGCUCUCCUGCUUCCAAUUGUUUCUUUUCUUUUUACCCCAUUCCCACCCAUCCCCUAUAGAUAAUCCAUCUCAUUAGUCCCUGGUAUAUGCUUUCUGUGUUUGCACAGGUGAAUAAAUGUGUAAUAUAUAUAUUUUUA